rnacentral:rRNA from 1 species
AUACAGAGGGUGCGAGCGUUAAUCGGAAUUACUGGGCGUAAAGCGCGCGUAGGCGGUCUAUUAAGUCAGAUGUGAAAUCCCAGGGCUCAACCUUGGAACUGCAUCUGAUACUGGUAGACUGGAGUUUUGGAGAGGGAAGUAGAAUUUCAGGUGUAGCGGUGAAAUGCAUAGAGAUCUGAAGGAAUACCAGUGGCGAAGGCGACUUCCUGGCCAAAAACUGACGCUGAGGUGCGAAAGCGUGCGGAGCAAACAGGAUUAGAAACCCCAGUAGUCC